CCUUAACCUGGCCUUGACAUACUAAGAACUUUCCAGAGAUGGAUUGGUGCCUUCGGGAACUUAGAUACAGGUGCUGCAUGGCUGUCGUCAGCUCGUGUCGUGAGAUGUUGGGUUAAGUCCCGCAACGAGCGCAACCCUUUUCCUUAUUUGCCAGCGGGUUAAGCCGGGAACUUUAAGGAUACUGCCAGUGACAAACUGGAGGAAGGCGGGGACGACGUCAAGUCAUCAUGGCCCUUACGGCCAGGGCUACACACGUGCCACAAUGGUCGGUACAAAGGGUUGCUACCUCGCGAGAGGAUGCUAAUCUCAAAAAGCCGAUCGUAGUCCGGAUCGCAGUCUGCAACUCGACUGCGUGAAGUCGGAAUCGCUAGUAAUCGCGGAUCAGAAUGCCGCGGUGAAUACGUUCCCGGGCCUUGUACACACCGCCCGUCACACCAUGGGAGUUUGUUGCACCAGAAGUAGGUAGUCUAACCGCAAGGAGGACGCUUACCACGGUGUGGCCGAUGACUGGGGUGAAGUCGUAACAAGGUAAGCGUAGAUGA
rnacentral:rRNA from 1 species